ACUCCUACGGGAGGCAGCAGUGGGGAAUAUUGCACAAUGGGGGAAACCCUGAUGCAGCCAUGCCGCGUGUGUGAAGAAGGCCUUCGGGUUGUAAAGCACUUUCAGUAGGGAGGAAGGUAGUGUAGUUAACACCUGCACUAUUUGACGUUACCUACAGAAGAAGCACCGGCUAACUCCGUGCCAGCAGCCGCGGUAAUACGGAGGGUGCGAGCGUUAAUACGGAAUUACUGGGCGUAAAGCGCAUGCAGGCGGCCUGUUAAGUCAGAUGUGAAAGCCCGGGGCUUAACCUCGGAAUUGCAUUUGAAACUGGCAGGCUAGAGUCUUGUAGAGGGGUUAGAAUUUCAGGUGUAGCGUGAAAUGCGUAGAGAUCUGAAGGAAUACCAGUGGCGAAGCGGCCCCUGGACAAAGCUGACGCUCAGAUGCGAAAGCGUGGGAGCAAACAGGAUUAGAUACCCCGU
rnacentral:rRNA from 1 species